ACGGAAGGCAGCAGUGGGGAAUAUUGGACAAUGGGGGAAACCCUGAUCCAGCGACGCCGCGUGAGUGAAGAAGUAUUUCGGUAUGUAAAGCUCUAUCAGCAAGGAAGAAAAUGACGGUACUUGACUAAGAAGCUCCGGCUAAAUACGUGCCAGCAGCCGCGGUAAUACGUAUGGAGCAAGCGUUAUCCGGAUUUACUGGGUGUAAAGGGAGCGUAGACGGUAAAGCAAGUCUGAAGUGAAAUCCCGGGGCUCAACCCCGGAACUGCUUUGGAAACUGUUUAACUAGAGUGCAGGAGAGGUAAGCGGAAUUCCUAGUGUAGCGGUGAAAUGCGUAGAUAUUAGGAGGAACACCAGUGGCGAAGGCGGCUUACUGGACUGUAACUGACGUUGAGGCUCGAAAGCGUGGGGAGCAAACAGAAUUAGAUACCCUGGUA
rnacentral:rRNA from 1 species